GCGCGGGUGGCGGAAUAGGUAGACGCGCAAGCUUGAGGUGCUUGUCCUCCAAUAGUGAGGGUGGGGGUUCAAGUCCCCCUCCGCGCA
rnacentral:tRNA from 1 species